GCCACUGGAAACGGUGAUUAAUACCUCGUAUGCUGAGGAGUGAAAGGUCGAAAGACCGCCAGGGGAUGGGCUUGCGUCUGAUUAGCUAGUUGGUGGGGUAAAUGCCUACCAAGGCGAUGAUCAGUAGCUGGUCUGAGAGGACAAUCAGCCACACUGGGACUGAGACACGGCCCAGACUCCUACGGGAGGCAGCAGUGAGGAAUUUUCCGCAAUGGGCUAACGCCUGACGGAGCAAUGCCGCGUGGAGGAGGAAGGCCUGUGGGUCGUAAACUCCUUUUCUCAGAGAAGAAGAUCUGACGGUAUCUGAGGAAUAAGCAUCGGCUAACUCUGUGCCAGCAGCCGCGGUAAUACAGGGGAUGCAAGCGUUAUCCGGAAUUAUUGGGCGUAAAGCGUCCUGAGGUGGCUUACCCAGUCGACUGUGAAAGCUCAAGGCUCAACCUUGAAACGGCAGUCGAAACUUGUAAGCUUGAGUACGGUAGAGGCAGAGGGAAUUCCCGGAGGAGAGGUGAAAUUCGUAGAUAUCGGGAGGAAGGCCAAAGGCGAAAGCACUCUGCUGGGCCGAUUACUGACACUGACAGACGAAAGCUAGGGGAGCG
rnacentral:rRNA from 1 species